AUUGAACGCUGGCGGCAGGCUUAACACAUGCAAGUCGAGCGGGGGAGGUUGCUUCGGUAACUGACCUAGCGGCGGACGGGUGAGUAAUGCUUAGGAAUCUGCCUAUUAGUGGGGGACAACAUUCCGAAAGGGAUGCUAAUACCGCACACGCCCUACGGGGGAAAGCAGGGGAUCUUCGGACCUUGCGCUAAUAGAUGAGCCUAAGUCGGAUUAGCUAGUUGGUGGGGUAAAGGCCUACCAAGGCGACGAUCUGUAGCGGGUCUGAGAGGAUGAUCCGCCACACUGAGACUGAGACACGGCCCAGACUCCUACGGGAGGCAGCAGUGGGGAAUAUUGGACAAUGGGCGGAAGCCUGAUCCAGCCAUGCCGCGUGUGUGAAGAAGGCCUUUUGGUUGUAAAGCACUUUAAGCGAGGAGGAGGCUCUUAAGGUUAAUACCCUUGAUGAGUGGACGUUACUCGCAGAAUAAGCACCGGCUAACUCUGUGCCAGCCGCCGCCGUAAAAC
rnacentral:rRNA from 1 species